rnacentral:rRNA from 1 species
GAAUCUUGCGCAAUGGGCGAAAGCCUGACGCAGCGACGCCGCGUGUGGGAUGAAGGCCUUCGGGUCGUAAACCACUGUCAGUGGGAAAGAAGGGUGUCGGCGCGAUAACCGCCGGCAUUUGACGGUACCUGCAGAGGAAGCCCCGGCCAACUCCGUGCCAGCAGCCGCGGUAAGACAGAGGGGGCAAGCGUUGCUCGGAAUUACUGGGCGUAAAGGGCGCGUAGGCGGGAUGGCAAGUCGGUCGUGAAAUCCUUCGGCUCAACCGAAGAACGUCGAUCGAUACUGCUGUUCUAGAGGAUUGCAGAGGAGACUGGAAUUCCCGGUGUAGCGGUGAAAUGUGUAGAGAUCGGGAGGAACACCGGUGGCGAAGGCGGGUCUCUGGGCAAUUCCUGACGCUGAGGCGCGAAAGCGUGGGGAGCAAACGGG